rnacentral:lncRNA from 1 species
GAAAAAGAUAAUUGGAAAGAGGAAUAAAAGGUAUCAGCGCAUGGAGUUAUUUGCAGGCAAGGGGCUGAGAUGAGCAAUACUCUUGAAUAUAGCCUACUAAAGAAAAGCCAUAAAGAAGAACUUAGAAGAAGAAUAAAGUAUAACCUAAAAGUUUACUGAUCUGAGUAAGGAUCAAAGAGGUGAAAUGGGGUCGUAUUCUCCAAGAUAAGACACCAAUCACCAUCUAUGU